rnacentral:lncRNA from 1 species
CCUGGGUGGAGAUCUUUGUCACCAGGCUCAGGACCAGUUUUGACCAGGGUCAGGGCUCAUCCUGAGAUCAGGGAACAGGGAGAAGCAGCCCUUCAAGGACGGAGCCAGCCCACGAUUCUGACUCUGGGACGGCUACCUGGGUGAUGAAUCAGAGCUGGGAAGACAUUUCCAGUACCGGCACUCACAAGCCA